AGUGAACGCUGGCGGCAGGCCUAAUACAUGCAAGUCGAACGGCAGCACAGCAGAGCUUGCUCUGUGGGUGGCGAGUGGCGGGACGGGUGAGGAAUACAUGGGAAUCUGCCCAGUCGUGGGGAUAACGUAGGGAACUUACGCUAAUACCGCAUGCGCCUUCGGGGAAGCGGGACCUCGGCCUGGCGCGAUUGGAUGAGCCCAUGUCGGAUUAGCUAGUUGGCGGGGUAAUGGCCCACCAAGGCGACGAUCCGUAGCUGGUCUGAGAGGAUGAUCAGCCACACUGGAACUGAGACACGGUCCAGACUCCUACGGGAGGCAGCAGUAGGGAAUAUUGGACAAUGGGCGCAAGCCUGAUCCAGCCAUGCCGCGUGAGUG
rnacentral:rRNA from 1 species